rnacentral:rRNA from 1 species
UACGAGAGGCCCAAACGUUAUUCGGAAUUACUGGGCUUAAAGAGUUCGUAGGCGGUAUGACAAGUAGGGUGUGAAAGCCCUCGGCUUAACCGAGGAAUUGCGCUCUAAACUGUCGUACUCGAGGAACCUAGAGGUGAGCAGAACAGAUGGUGGAGCGGUGAAAUGCGUUGAUAUCAUCUGGAAUACCGGAGGCGAAGGCGGCUCACU